rnacentral:tRNA from 1 species
GGCGCGUUAGCUCAGUUGGUAAGAGCACCAUUCUCAUAUCAUGGAGGUCGUAGGUUCGAAUCCUACAUGCGCCA